rnacentral:rRNA from 1 species
GUGGCGAGUGGCGGACGGGUGAGGAAUACAUCGGAAUCUACUUUUUCGUGGGGGAUAACGUAGGGAAACUUACGCUAAUACCGCAUACGACCUACGGGUGAAAGCAGGGGAUCUUCGGACCUUGCGCGAUUGAAUGAGCCGAUGUCGGAUUAGCUAGUUGGCGGGGUAAAGGCCCACCAAGGCGACGAUCCGUAGCUGGUCUGAGAGGAUGAUCAGCCACACUGGAACUGAGACACGGUCCAGACUCCUACGGGAGGCAGCAGUGGGGAAUAUUGGACAAUGGGCGCAAGCCUGAUCCAGCCAUACCGCGUGGGUGAAGAAGGCCUUCGGGUUGUAAAGCCCUUUUGUUGGGAAAGAAAUCCAGCUGGCUAAUACCCGGUUGGGAUGACGGUACCCAAAGAAUAAGCACCGGCUAACUUCGUGCCAGCAGCCGCGGUAAUACGAAGGGUGCAAGCGUUACUCGGAAUUACUGGGCGUAAAGCGUGCGUAGGUGGUCGUUUAAGUCCGUUGUGAAAGCCCUGGGCUCAACCUGGGAACUGCAGUGGAUACUGGACGACUAGAGUGUGGUAGAGGGUAGCGGAAUUCCUGGUGUAGCAGUGAAAUGCGUAGAGAUCAGGAGGAACAUCCAUGGCGAAGGCAGCUACCUGGACCAACACUGACACUGAGGCACGAAAGCGUGGGGAGCAAACAGGAUUAGAU